rnacentral:rRNA from 1 species
UACGUAGGGGGCAAGCGUUGUCCGGAAUCAUUGGGCGUAAAGAGCGUGUAGGCGGCCAGGUAGGUGGGUUGUGAAAACUGGAGGCUCAACCUUCAGACGUCGACCCAAACCCCCUGGCUAGAGUCCGGAAGAGGAGAGUGGAAUUCCUGGUGUAGCGGUGAAAUGCGCAGAUAUCAGGAAGAACACCCGUGGCGAAGGCGGCUCUCUGGGACGGUACUGACGCUGAGACGCGCAAGCGUGGGGAGCGAACAGG